UACGUAGGGGGCGAGCGUUGUCCGGAUUUAUUGGGCGUAAAGAGCUCGUAGGCGGUUCGGUAAGUCGGAUGUGAAAUCUCCACGCUCAACGUGGAGGGGCCAUUCGAUACUGCCGUGACUCGAGUCCGGUAGGGGAGUGUGGAAUUCCCGGUGUAGCGGUGAAAUGCGCAGAGAUCGGGAGGAACACCCGUAGCGAAGGCGGCACUCUGGGCCGGUACUGACGCUGAGGAGCGAAAGCAUGGGGAGCGAACAGG
rnacentral:rRNA from 1 species